rnacentral:lncRNA from 1 species
GCGUGACUGAAGAGCUAACAAUGGGUGGCAUUGACGGCCUGAAUAAGGAUGCGUCUGUGUGGUGAUGUGCCACCCAGCUGUCCUCUCAGGUAGGGAGGGACAAUGGUACCAGAGCCGCCUGUCCAUGCAAAACAUGUGAUGUGACUGUAGCUAUAAGAAGCUGUGAACUGACAGCAACCCAAAAUCUUCCACUACCCAGACCUACAGCCAAGAUGAGAUUUCUAGCGCCACUAUGUGUUUUCCUCGCCGUGGCUGCGUUUCACUCUGCUCUCUCAGCAUCUCUGGAAUCUGCAGAGAAAGAGGAAGUAGUUGCUCACCAGGAUGGGCCAACAGAACUGCAGAAAAUAGAUCAGAUGGAGUUUCAGGCUGCUCAAAAGAACGAGGCUGCUCAGAUGAAUGUUACAGAGGAACAGAAUGAGGAAGCCCACUACCUUGAGGCUGUUAAAGAUGGAUCUGUGGAGGAGCAUGUUGAAGCUGUGGACGACAACACAGAGGGAGGUGGGAACUCUGACGUAGCAGCUCAUGAAGAGUCGUCCUCGUCCUCUUCAGAGGAAACAUAUGGGCGACAGAGGCGAGAGAACCAUGAGGCAGUGCCAGAGACUGUGAGUCGUCUGGAUGAAGCCAGUCAGGAUUCAACCAAGGAUGAACAAGAUCUACUGGAGUGA